CCCCCGGGCAGCGGCCCAGCCUCCAACCCAUUAUGGUGAUUGUCCGCCCGGGGACUCCCUCAGCGUGACUCGCCCGCUCGACCCUUGUCAAACAGAGACUACUUAGCGCGCUCACUUUCCACAUCAAGUUGGAAUGUCCUCCUGCUCUUGAUUCUCGUUCUCUCUGUGGAUCGCAGCUCUCCAGAACCGCUGAACCUCUCAACGCGUCUAUGGUCGGUAGGAUUCAGACGCAGCACACUUGGACCGAUGCCAGGGCUCGCUGGGCUGGAUGGAGGCUGGGUGGAGGCUGGAUGAAGGCUGGGCGGAGGCUGGAUGGAGGCGCUGUCCAUGGUCCUGCUCACUUUCUCAUCCUGCAUUAGAGAUAGACAUUGAAUGAAACACAGUGUUUUUUUGUUAUUUGCAUUUUUUUUCCAACUGCAAGGUGUUCUCAAGGUUCGAGGUGCACCGAUACAAUGGAUGAAGAACAGAAGUGGAUGUAGGGACGGUGAAGAGUUAUUUCCUUUACACCAUGUUCCAUUUGACAAGAACAAUCUACCAAAGCAACAUGCUUUGACAGUUGUGUUAUAAAAUAGUACCAUCAAAUUACACCUUCACAGUCAACCUCACCUGACAGGGUUAAGAACAACCACACAGAUCCAUGACCGCCGUCCUGGAGCACCUUAACCGAAGCUCUGUCCCUGCGGUCUGGUAAACGGUGGGCACAGUCUCAAACAGUAGCCCUCGGCAGCGCCUCAGUGUUGCGUCGUGUGCGUCGUGUGUAUUGUUUGUGCCGUGUGUGUUAUCUCCUCCAUACGACGGGAACUCUCUGGACGAAAGGCCGGAACACCUGAGCCCCGCUCUGGCUGAUUUAAUUAGCACUGAGCACGCUUGUCUCUGCUUGCAGGCGGCAUCGCUGGAGAGUUGCCUAAUUAACGACCGCUACGACCGCCUCAGAAGAACAGCCAGACAUCGGAGAUGAGCUGAACGUACGGAUUCUGCCCGGUCUUGUCGGUCUCGACUUUUUGGACAAAACUCUUUAUCCUUUACAAACAACAACAGCGAAGCGAACUCCUGUUUAUUUUCAACCGUGACCCAACCCUAAUCCCCCCCCCCCCCCACCCUUCGGACGCAGCGUUUACCCGCCCUGUCCUCGUGUUGACGUUGCGGCUUUGAGUCCUCACAGCACUGCCCCCCAUCCAUCCCUCCCUCCUCCACCCCUUCGAGAUGAGCGACGCCCACUACUGGGUGGUGGACUACGACCUGUCCUCCACCACCACCACGGCCCCCGGCCACGGCCCCUCCGGGGGGCCCUCGGGGGGGCCCUUGCCUCCCGUGGCGGUCCACUCUGAGCUGGGCACGGCCCUGUGCCUGGUGGGCCUGCUGCUGCUCCUGCUGCUCUUCCUGGUGGUCCGCUGCAUCCGCAUCCUGCUGGACCCCUACAGCAGCAUGCCCUCCUCCUCCUGGACCGACCACAAGGAGGGCCUGGACCGGGGCCAGUUCGACUACGCCCUGGUGUAGGGAGGUGGAGGAGGGUACUAGGCCCUGGUGUAGGGAGGUGGAGGAGGGUACUAGGCCCUGGUGUAGGAGAGGUGGAGGACAGUACUAGGCCCUGGUGUAGGGAGGUGGAGGACAGUACUAGGCCCUGGUGUAGGGAGGUGGAGGACGGUACUAGGCCCUGGUGUAGAGAGGUGGAGGACAGUACUAGGCCCUGGUGUAGGGAGGUGGAGGACAGUACUAGGCCCUGGUGUAGGGGAGGUGGAGCACAGGGCGCAGUUUGACUACACCCUGAUGUAGGAGGGGUGGAGGACAGGAGGACAGUGUACUGUCUCAAUAGUUUUCCUCCAAACCCUCCCAGCAUUACCAUUAUCAACCCAGGAACUAAAUGGAGCAACCUCAUAUCUUCCAUGCAUUCUUCAUAGUUGUGUCUGCAUCUCCUAGAAACUAGAAAUGAUCAACAAAUAGUUCAAAAGGAGCGUUGAUGUUAAUUGGGUUGACUUGAGGUCUUGUGUCGUGGUCUGUAAUCAGGUACCGCAUAGGCCAGAGGGAUGAGAGGAACAAAAAGGUAUCUGUGUCAACGCGUAAUGCUAUAAAGGUGGAGGACAUUGCCAUUAUACAUUUCUUCAAUGUUUAGACGAAACCCAGGUCAAACUGGUGUGGCUGGGUGCACAGCACGGAUCAAUUACAGUCAGACCUAAUGAGUUUACGAAGUAACAAAGAACUACAGUACUAAUAAUUAAGAUCGAGAGCCAAAUUCUCUCUCUUCCCACGGUUGUCAAGGGUCUUGUUGUUACCAGCAACAUUUUCUCAGGCAGGCCCGAACAUGCCAACAGCACCCCCCCCCAUAACCAAACAAGAUGUCAAAGGAAGUCAGGGAACGCUCUUCCUCAGGAAAAUAUGGAUCGAAGCCAAGGCAAGCAAGGUUCAAGGUUGUCGCUGGUUCUCAGGAAAACAAUCAACUAUGCUCCGUUUAGGGAAACAGAUUGUUGAGCUCUAUGGUGAAAGAAACACAUCCAAAUAAAAUAGUUCAAUAUUAUUAUUUGUGCUAAUCUCUGUAAAUCAGGUUUAAUUCAUGAAACCCAGUUGGAUACAUCACUGAUGUGUGGUGAUCUAUCUAUUUCAUGAUGCAAUCCCCUUUAGCAGCAGUUUCACUUUGAUAUUGUCUUAAUAUUUAUAAUGGAGUGCAUGAAGAUUGCCCUUCUUUGUAAGUAAUAUGUUUCCCGUCAGGUCCCAAACUAUAUACCAGCCAAAGCUGUCAAUAGUGCCUUUAAAUUAACAGCAGAAUAUAGUGCUGUUGCUUUGUGUUUAUUGUAUUGUUAAUUCGAUUACUCCAUUUGCCAACAUAUGUUUACGCAACGAAACAAGUUGUUGUGUGUUAUUUUUUUCCAUCAAACAAAUAUAUACUAUUGCACCUUAGUCAUUAGCUUGUGAAAUGGGUUAUACAUGUUUCUGUAAUCAAAGUCACCAAUUUACCUUUACUAUCCUUUUGUAUCUAAAUGAAUGCUUUUUCUGA